rnacentral:rRNA from 1 species
AGCGACUGUGCAGGUUACCGCGGCUGCUGGCACGGAGUUAGCCGGUGCUUCUUCUGUGAGUGAUGUCCUUCCUGCCGGCUAUUAACCCGCAGGCCUUCUUCCUCACUGAAAGUGCUUUACAACCCGAAGGCCUUCUUCACACACGCGGCAUGGCUGGAUCAGGGUUGCCCCCAUUGUCCAAUAUUCCCCACUGCUGCCUCCCCGUAGGAGUCUGGGCCGUGUCUCAGUCCCCAGUGUGGCUGAUCAUCCUCUCAGACCAGCUACGGAUCGUCGCCUUGGUGAGCCGUUACCUCACCAACCAGCUAAUCCGACAUAGGCUCAUCCGAUAGCGCGAGGCCCGAA